rnacentral:rRNA from 1 species
AGAGUUUGAUCAUGGCUCAGGAUGAACGCUGGCGGCAUGCCUAAUACAUGCAAGUCGAACGAGAGAUAGUACUUCGGUAUUUGAUCUAGUGGCGAACGGGUGAGUAAUACGUAGAUAACUUACCUUUAAGACGAGGAUAACAGUUGGAAACGACUGCUAAUACUGGAUAGGAUAUCGAGAUGCAUAUUUUGAUAUUUAAAGGUGCGUUUGCACCGCUUAUUGAGAGGUUUACGUCGCAUUAGCUUGUUGGUGAGGUAAGGGCUCACCGAGGCAACGAUGCGUAGCUGUGCUGAGAGGCAAAACAGCCACACUGGGACUGAGACACGGCCCAGACUCCUACGGGAGGCAGCAGUAGGGAAUUUUCGGCAAUGGGGGCAACCCUGACCGAGCAAUGCCGCGUGAAUGAUGAAGAUCUUCGGAUCGUAAAAUUCUGUUAUCGGGAAAGAAUAGCAUGACUAGGAAAUGAGUUAUGUGUGACGGUACCCGAUUAGAAAGCCCCGGCUAACUAUGUGCCAGCAGCCGCGGUAAUACAUAGGGGGCAAGCGUUAUCCGGAAUUAUUGGGCGUAAAGAGUGCGUAGGCGGUUUAUUAAGUCUGGUGUGAAAUCCCACAGCUUAACUGUGGAGGGUCAUUGGAAACUGGUAAACUUGAGUACGGUAGAGGUAAGUGGAAUUCCAAGUGGAGCGGUGGAAUGCGUAGAUAUUUGGAGGAACACCAGUGGCGAAGGCGGCUUACUGGGCCGGAACUGACGCUGAGGCACGAAAGCGUGGGGAGCAAACAGGAUUAGAUACCCUGGUAGUCCACGCCGUAAACGUUGAGCACUAAGUGUCGGAUGUAGAUUCGGCGCUGCAGUUAACACAAUAAGUGCUCCGCCUGGGGAGUACGGUCGCAAGACUGAAACUCAAAGGAAUUGACGGGGACUCGCACAAGCGGUGGAGCAUGCGGUUUAAUUCGAUGCAACGCGAAGAACCUUACCAGGUCUUGACAUCCCACUGACAGCUCUAGAGAUAGAGUCUUCCUUCGGGACAGUGGUGACAGGUGGUGCAUGGUUGUCGUCAGCUCGUGUCGUGAGAUGUUGGGUUAAGUCCCGCAACGAGCGCAACCCUUAUCAUUAGUUGCUAACAGUUAGAUGAGCACUCUAAUGAGACCGCCGGUGAUAAACCGGAUGAAGGUGGGGAUGACGUCAAAUCAUCAUGCCCCUUAUGACCUGGGCUACACGCGUGCUACAAUGGCUAGUACAAAGAGUUGCGAAACCGCGAGGUUGAGCUAAUCUCAUAAAGCUAGUCUCAGUUCGGAUUGUAGUCUGCAACUCGACUACAUGAAGUUGGAAUCGCUAGUAAUCGCGAAUCAGAAUGUCGCGGUGAAUACGUUCUCGAGUCUUGUACACACCGCCCGUCACACCAUGAGAGUUUAUAAUGCCCGAAACCGGUGGCCUAACCGCAAGGAGGGAGCCGUCUAAGGUAGGAUAGAUGAUUGGGGUGAAGUCGUAACAAGGUA